GGAAUAUUGGGCAAUGGAGGAGACUCUGACCCAGCGACGCCGCGUGCGGGAUGAAGGCCUUCGGGUUGUAAACCGCUUUCAGCAGGGAAGAAGCGAAAGUGACGGUACCUGCAGAAGAAGCACCGGCUAACUAUGUGCCAGCAGCCGCGGUAAUACAUAGGGUGCAAGCGUUGUCCGGAAUUAUUGGGCGUAAAGAGCUCGUAGGUGGUUCGUCACGUCGGAUGUGAAACUCUGGGGCUUAACCCCAGACCUGCAUUCGAUACGGGUGAGCUUGAGUAUGGUAGGGGAGUCUGGAAUUCCUGGUGUAGCGGUGGAAUGCGCAGAUAUCAGGAGGAACACCAAUGGCGAAGGCAGGACUCUGGGCCAUUACUGACACUGAGGAGCGAAAGCGUGGGGAGCGAACAGGAUUAGAUACCCUGGUAGUCCACGCCGUAAACGGUGGGCACUAGUUGUGGGGACCUUCCACGGUCUCUGCGACGCAGCUAACGCAUUAAGUGCCCCGCCUGGGGAGUACGAUCGCAAGAUUAAAACUCAAAUGAAUUGACGG
rnacentral:rRNA from 1 species